rnacentral:rRNA from 1 species
AUGGUAGAUCCUCAUGAGAUCAUUUCUGAUGCAGUGUUGGAUACUCUCAUGGACGACCAUCAACCUGAAUGUGCUCACAUUUCAGUUACAGCCCUAUCUGGUGCAGCUCAUCCUAAGACAAUACAACUCAGAGCUCUUGUUGGUAAUCAAGUGGUACUAAUCCUGAUCGACUCGGGAAGCACCCACACCUUUGUAGAUAAAGCACUGUUGAGCAGGGUACCAGUUGCUGCAGAAAAAUUAGCAACUCCUCUGCCUGUGAAAGUAGCAAAUGGAGACAAAGUGGACUGUACAGAGUUUGUGUCCAACCUGAACUGGUGGAUCCAGGGUCAUAAUUUCUCAACCUCCAUGCAUGUACUCGAGUUGGGAGGAUAUGACAUUAUCCUGGGUAUGGACUGGCUUGAACAAUGGGGUGUCAUGCAGUGCCACUGGGCAGAAAAAUUGAUCAAGUUUGAUUAUCAAGGAAAAGAAAUCAAGUUUCAGGGAGUGUUACCUGUUAAACAAGAUCAUAUUCAGGAGGUUUCUAUGGAACAACUGAGGAAGUGGGACAAGGGAAAUGAUAUCUGGGCAACUGCAGUUCUGCAUCACAUUUGUGUUGCUCCAGUAACUGAAGUGCCAGAGGAAGUGCAACAAUUGUUACAAGCCAACAAAGCUGCAUUUGUGGACCCAAAAACCCCGCCUCCCCACAGGGAGUUUGACCAUGAGAUACACUCGUUACCUGAUGCAGUGCCUGUAAAUUGCACACCCUAUAGGUAUUCUCCUUUGCAGAAAGAUGAAACAGAGAAACAAGUCUCAGAAAUGUUGCAGUCUGGUCUGAUCACACCUAGCUUGAGUCCUUUUGCUUCACCUGUACUGUUGGUCAAGAAAAAAGAUGGUACCGGGAGGUUUUGUGUGGAUUAUAGAAAACUCAACUCCCUCACUAUUAAAAGCAAGUUUCCAAUGCCAGUGAUUGAUGAAUUAUUGGAUGAAUUAGGAGGUGCUAAGUGGUUCUCCAAGUUGGAUCUCAGAUCAGGCUACCACCUAAUAAGGAUGGCAGAAGCAGAUGAGUUUAAAACAACAUUCAAAACUCAUAAUGGAUAA